ensembl:rRNA 5S_rRNA 5S ribosomal RNA
GCCUACAGCCAUACCUCCUCAAGCUAUGAUCUCUCUAAACUAAUCAAGGUUGGGCCUGGUUCAUAUUUGGAUGAGACACGUCCAAGUGAAACCUGGGUUGUUGCAAGAA